rnacentral:rRNA from 1 species
UACGUAGGGUGCAAGCGUUAAUCGGAAUUACUGGGCGUAAAGAGUGCGUAGGCGGCUAUGUAAGACAGAUGUGAAAUCCCUGGGCUUAACCUAGGAACUGCAUUUGUGACUGCAUGGCUGGAGUGCGGCAGAGGGGGAUGGAAUUCCGCGUGUAGCAGUGAAAUGCGUAGAUAUGCGGAGGAACACCGAUGGCGAAGGCGGCCAUCUGGGACAACACUGACGCUGAAGCACGAAAGCGUGGGGAGCAAACAGG